AGUCGUAACAAGGUUUCCGUAGGUGAACCUGCGGAAGGAUCAUUAACACGUAUCCAACGUUAAACCCCCCAUGCAUCUUCACAGAGCUCGUCACUCCUCUCGACAACAGCAAUCCUGGUAAAUCAGUGGCGAAGUAGUCUUAGCAGGCUCGCCAGUCUGGAGUCCUGUCCGGCGGAUGAAAGUGUCGCUAGACGGUUUCUAGGGUAAGGCUUCCCCAUCGCCGGUGUAUCACACGCCGAAGCGGACAGACUGCAGGGUGUAGUGCCCCUUUACGACGACCAAGUGGAAUUAGGCCUCUACCACAUAGCAAGUGCGCCGUGGUAGAGGAAAACGUACAACUGUUAACAAUGGAUAUCUUGAUUCUC
rnacentral:misc_RNA from 1 species